AACAUGUCAGGUGAUCGAUGCCAAGGAAGUGUUAAUUUGGGUAUGUCAUGUUGUUUUACAAUUUGAUUCUUGAUUAUUAAUUUUUUCUCUAUUCAUAUCUUUAAUUUGUUGUUUGUUUUAUAUCUUUUACAAUUAGAUUCUUGAUUCUUGCUAUUUAAUUUUUUUUUCUUGAUCUGACUUGGGAUUUUAAUUUGUGAUUUUCUUUGUUUUAAUUUUUUG
rnacentral:lncRNA from 1 species